AUAUCAAUAAGCGGAGGAAAAGAAACCAACAGGGAUUGCCUCAGUAACGGCGAGUGAAGCGGCAACAGCUCAAAUUUGAAAUCUGGCCUCUUUGGGGUCCGAGUUGUAAUUUGUAGAGGAUGUUUCGGGUACCGCCUCGGUUUAAAUUUCUUGGAACAGAAUGUCAAAGAGGGUGAGAAUCCCGUCUUGGACCGGCGGUAGGGCCCAUGUGAAACUCCUUCGACGAGUCGAGUUGUUUGGGAAUGCAGCUCAAAAUGGGUGGUAAAUUUCAUCUAAAGCUAAAUAUUGGCCAGAGACCGAUAGCGCACAAGUAGAGUGAUCGAAAGAUGAAAAGCACUUUGAAAAGAGAGUUAAACAGUAUGUGAAAUUGUUGAAAGGGAAGCGCUUACAACCAGACUUGCGCGCGGCGGUUCCCCCUUCCUUUUGGUUGGGCUACUCCGUCGUGUCCAGGCCAACAUCGGUUCUGGGGGUCGGUUAAAGACCCUGGGAAUGUAUCUACCCUUCGGGCGUAGACUUAUAGCUCAGGGUGUCAUGCGACCUCCCGGGACCGAGGAACGCGCUUCGGCUCGGAUGUUGGCGUAAUGGUUGUCAGCGA
rnacentral:rRNA from 1 species